GCUCCAGUGGCGCAAUCGGUUAGCGCGCCGUACUUAUAAUGCGGAGCAGUGCGGAGGUUGUGAGUUCGAGCCUCACCUGGAGCA